UCAUAUUUCUCCGCCCUCUCUUCCCCACCUCGCUCGCCCUCGCUCCCUAGCCUUCGCUCUCUCUCCUUCGCCGCCACGUCCACUCUUUCCUCCGAUCUAAAGAAACGUAGCAGCAACCGCAUCUCGCCAUUGUUUCCUCUCUUACUCGCCGGAACCCUAGGCCGGUCCUGCUUCGUCUUCUCCGGUCUAGGGUUUUAGCCCUAUUCAAGUGCCCGUUUCCGAAACCCUAGAACCAGGAUAAUUUGAUAGUGUUGACUUCAACUGUAUUGGAGUUAUUUUCACAAUGGGUUUUGAUAACGAGUGUAUACUGAACAUCCAGUCUCUUCCUGGUGAAUAUUUCUGCCCUGUUUGUCGCACACUUAUCUACCCAAACGAGGCUUUACAAUCGCAGUGCACCCAUCUGUACUGCAAACCAUGUUUAGCCUAUGUUGUGGCCACUACACAUGCUUGUCCUUAUGAUGGAUACCUGGUGACUGAAGCAGAUUCUAAGCCACUGAUUGAAUCAAAUAAAGCACUUGCGGAGACCAUUGGCAAGGUGGCAGUUUACUGUCUCUAUCACAGGAGUGGAUGCCAAUGGCAGGGAACUUUGUCUGAAUGCAUUGCACAUUGCACUGGUUGUACCUUUGGAAAUUCACCUGUUGUAUGCAACAGGUGUGGUACCCAGAUUAUACAUCGGCAAGUACAAGAGCAUACACAAAUAUGCCCUGGUUUACAACCACAAGCACAGCAGGCAGAUAGUGGUCAGGGUCAAGCUUCGACAACAUCAAACCAAGCUGUUUCCCAGGAUCCUGCCGUGGCCUCCUCAGCAGUUCCUGCAACAACCACUUCAACAGCUACUGCAAGCACAACUUCUACAACUACUGCAGCUACAGCUACUCCUGCAGCAACUGCUACUGCUACUGCUCCUGCAACCGUGCCUAUUGCUUCUGCUACUACCACUACACCUGCUGGUGCAUCUCAAGGCCAAGCUAAUGCAACUGCUUAUGCACAAGCUGUAGCCCAGGCUUCGACUCCACAACAAUGGUACCAGCAACAGCAAUUGCAAUACCAGCAGUACUAUCAGAUGUAUCCUGGCUAUGACGCUUACCAGCAGCAUUAUCAACAGUAUGCUCAAUAUCAACAGCAAGGCUACCCACAGUAUCCCCAGCCCCAAAUGCAAGUUGUUCCUCAGAAUGCAACACAAGGACAGUCACAGCCUGCAUCAUAUGUGCAGCCUCAACCUCAUCUCCAAACCCAACCUUAUCCCCAACCUCAGACUCAAGCCCCGGCCCAGCCUCUACCCCAGCCCCAGCCACAAGCCCAGGCAACUCAAGUGCAACUGCAGCAGCAGCAGCCUCCUGUGAUGCAAGCCCAACAACAACCACUAUCCCAGCCCCAACCCCAACCCCAACCUCAACCCCAACUUGUGCAGUUGCAGGCACAACAACCUCAUACACCUGGUCAGCAGCCUUAUGCUCAAGCACACACACAAACUAAUCAACUACCCCAAGCACAACUAGCAGGUCAGCAAUUUGGGCAGCCACCCCAGUCACACUAUCCCCAGCCUCAGCCUCAGCCUCAGCCUCAGCCUCAGCCUCAGCCUCAGCCCCAGGUGCAAUCACAACAGCAGAUGCAGGCACCACCGUAUCAACAGACACUUCAGCCACAGCAGCAUUUACAAUCUGUCCCUCAUCAGCAAUCUCAUCCACAUGUUCAACCACAGGCCCGUCCUACUGCCAUUCAACAGCCACCUAUGCAACUGCAGCCUCAUUCCCAGUAUCCUAGUGCUCAUCCCCAAAGCCAGUCCCAGCCAAUGGCACAACCUCAGCAUCCCUUGGCUCAUGCAGUGACAGGACAUCAGUCCUACCAACAACCUCAGAUGCUUCAGCAAACCCAGCCUGGUACCCUGCCACAACGCCCCAUGCUCAUGCAGCCACCACAGCAGGGUGUGCCACAACAACAUCCUGUUCAAUUGCCAAACCAGUUUGCACCUCAACAGCCUCCUAGGAUGCCUCCACCUUCUGGGUAUAUGCCAAUGCAAGGCCAACAGCAGUCGAUGCUACAUACGCAAAGACCUCCUGCAAGUCAUCCUCAGCAGCAGCCUCCUGUUCCCCUUCCUCAGCAUGCCCAACAUUUGCACCAGCAUCCUGGCGUGCAUGCACAGGCAACUCAGCAGGGUUUGCCUCCUCAGCAAUCACAUGGCCAUUUGCAUCCUGGCCAGCAGUUUCCGCAGGGGAUGCUCUCAUCACAGCAGCAAUUGCCUCCUCAGGUUCCACCACAUAUGCAACAGCAUGUUUCAGUGCAGAUGCAUCCUCAGCAAAAUGUGCCACCGGCUCAUGGUUUGGCAACACAUCAAGCACAGGCUGUAGCCAUCAGGCCUACGAUUGCAAAUAAUGGCAUGCCACAUCAAUCAAUUGAACAGUUUCCUGGUGGACCUGGUAAGCCCGCACAACCUCCUCUGAAUCAACAAUUGCCAAGUCAGAGUCACUUGGCAUGGCCUGGCACAAAUUUGGCAGCGACAUAUGAGUCGCAAAGGUCUCAUCUUCCGCAAACAGGUAGCCAGGGCAGUUCGAAAGCUGUAUCUACUGCUCCACAUUCAGGGGUAGUAGAUAAAGUGGGCCAUGCCCCUGAUCCAUCAUCAGAUUUAGCUGCAAAGAAUGCUGAAGGGAGUGGGCAAAUUGAAAGAUCAGAAACAGCUGUCACGAAGAUUCCGGAAGUAGGGUUGGAAGCAGAUAAAGAAAAAGCUGGUGGAGAGUUUAAGGAAAAGGACAUUCAAGCUGAGGUGGAAUCAACACUGAGCCAUGGUAGAAAACUUGAUUCUUAUGCUGAAGAGGAAAAUGUGGAGCUUACCGAACCCAAGCUUACAAUGAAGGAGGAAUUGGCUGAAUUGUCAGAAGAUGGUUCUGAGAGAUCGAAUGUUCCUAAAGAUGGACAUGCUGAGGAAAAUCAGAGUGCAGAAGGUAAACCCAAUGAAAAGGCUGGUGGCAUGGUGGAAGUCCAAGGGGCGAAACUAUCGUCUGAUGAUAAUGCACAGUUGCAUGCCAUUUCUACUGCUGUUCCCAGGGAGUCAUUUGGCUUAAGUGAAGGACAGACUGCUGGGGAUGUUACUAGUAAAACUCAUCCUCCUCAGCAAUUGACAUCUCCUAGUAGUGAUAAAGGUCAGCAGCAACAGCUAGCUCAUCAACGUGCUCCUCCAUCCAUUGAAGAAGCAUCCUUCCUGCCUGCUUAUCAUGACAAGAACACAUCUCAGUUAGCUUGGCAAGGCCCAGGAUCUGGUAUGCCUCAAGGUAUUCCAACAUCAGGUUCUUUAACGGGUAAGGAGGGUUAUCCAACACAACACCUUCCCUACAGUCAUCCUCUGAAUGUUCCAGUCACAACCCCUAGGUAUCAGGUUCCUGAUAGAAUAUUACCACAUCAUAUGCCACUUCCUGGGCCCAUUCCAGAUAGAAGACCCCAGGAUGCUCCUCCAUAUCAAAUGCAGGUACCUGGGCAAAACAUGGCAUCAGGCCAAAUGAGACCCCCAGGUCAUAGUUUUCCUGAACCUAAUCCUCGUCAAGGGCAUACUUCAAUUGUACAAGACCCACUUAGGCCUCCAAGUGGGCAACCAUAUGGUGGCAGUUAUCAUUCUGAUGUGCCACAGGGUACCUUUCCUGGUCUAGGUUUGCCCACCACAGGUAGAGUUCCUGGACAUGUUGGGUUUUCACAACAUGGGUUUCCAGAACAGGGUAUCUCUCCUCAAGGGCAAGGUCGAAGUCAUUUACCUCUGCCACAUGCUGGUACGAGAGUCUCACAUGGUGAAGCUUUAACACAAUUACCUCUGCAUGCACCACACUCUGGAGCCUUUAAUACAUCAAAUCCCAUGAUGUCAAGAGGACCUUUUCAUCCAGAAGAUCGUGGAGGUCCUUCUCAUCUUGGACCGGCCAAUGCUUUGGAAGCUGAAUCAUAUGAUGUCAGGAGGCCUGGAUUUUCUGAUCUUAGGCAGCCCGAUCCACUUGUCCAGUCAAAUGUGAUUAAGGCUAAUGGGAUUCCAGUAAAAGUUCAAGUUGAUGGCAUGCGUGAUUCUUCUUUUUCUCAUGGAUUGCCUGAAGACAGAUUUAGGCCUUUGCCAGAUGAAAGAUUCAGAUCAUUGCCUGAUAAUGGGAUGCCAAGGCCUUUUCCACUUGAUCCUGGCAGACACAAUGUAGGUCGUAGGGAGUUCGAAGAAGAUUUGAAACAAUUUCCUAGGCCAAGCCAAUUGGAUGGUGAAGGCAUGCGAAAGUUUGAUAAUUACAUUGCUUCGUCGAGGCCCAUCGACAGGGGAUGGCAGCAGGUUGGUUCUGAUGCUUUACCAAGACCUUAUGAUAGGUCUUUGCCAGGGCCUGAUGGAAUUCCCCGAGCCCUUCCUGCAACUCAACUUGGUCCUUUCCAAGCUGGUAAUGCUGGUCCUUUUUCAGCUAGUGGAGCGGGUUCAGAACACCGCAUGAUAGAUAUUGUAGAAACACGCAGGCCUGCUGGUUUCCGUGAGGAAUUUGGUGCUAUUUCUGAUUUGCACAAGCCUAUUCUUGAAUUCGGCCGUCGUAUGGAUGUUGUACCUUCUGCACGAAGUCCAGUUAGAGAAUUCAGUGGUCUUUCAUCUAGUAAGUUUGGAUCAGGCUCUGGGUCAAGAGGUAUUCCUGAUGGUCCUAGAAGUUUCCGGAUGGAGCAACUUGAUUCAGGUAGAUUUCCGGGCAGUAUAAGAAAGGACUUGGAUGGGAAUAUUCACAUGCACCCUGGAGAGCAAUUUGGUCGGGGUCGUAUUUCUAUAGGUGAUCCCAUACUUGGUGGCAGUUAUGGGCGUGACUUUGCAAAUGAAGCUGGACUGUUUAGUACGUUUAACCCUCGUAGUGAAAUGGAGGUCUUUGAGCUGUUAAAGAAGAGGAAGCCUGGGACUAUGGGAUGGUGCCGCAUAUGCAGCAUUGACUGUGAAACAGUGGAGGGCUUGGAUCUGCAUGCACAGACCAGGGAGCACCAAAAGAUGGCCAUGGAUAUGGUGUUUGCAAUUAAGAAAGAAAACAACAAGAAGCAAAGAGUCUCUGAGGGUAUUUUACCCCUUGAAGAUUCAAAAAAAUCAAGGAAAGAUUUUGGAAAGCCUUUGAAAUAGACAGAAAACUCAUGGUUUCUGCUAUAGCGUUGGAUAUGGAUAUUGAGUUGCAAGUUGAAUCAGCAAGUGGGGAUUGAUUUGACAACCAGUAGUCGUAGGCCCUUAUCCAAUGUUUGGAGGGUGCUAAUAGGUUCAGGCAUUCAGUUGUUGAUAGAACCAUGGACUUUCAAUGUAAUAAUCUACACUUUUAUAUUCUCAGAUUUAUAUUGGUUAGUCAUUUUUUUUAUUUGGCCAUUUUUAUAUUUAUAUGACAUCAAAGAAAUUCGUACUUUCUGCUGGUAUUUGUUAAUUAUUUCAUGACAAAUCUUGUCAUGUUUUGUUUGUUUUUCUUCUACUCGGUCUCAGUUUAGAAUUUUUCCUUUCCCCGAGUAGCUCUGCCAAAGAUGGUUCUUGGGUUAAUGAAUUUGUUAUAUUUGUACAUGUGUAUGUGUAUAUAAUCUUAAGUAGUUGGAUAACAUGGAUCUUAAUUUUUGAAGUUACAUUCAAUAAUGUUGGUGAGUCAACUAUACUGUUCCACUUUCCUAACCAACCACUGGACCACUGGAAAUACUAGAUGGAUACAAAAUGUUUAUUUGACAUAUGUGAAGUGUUUUCCUGUGAAGUUCCUUUACAGUGGAAUGCUGAAAAUUGUUAGAUCUGGGCAACCUUUAUAAUGACAAGUGUUGUUCCAGUUAGAUGCUAUCACACUCGUUCUGAGCUUCCAUUGAAAAUUUAAAAGUACGUUGCUGUAUGUUGCCUAUAGGUGUUUUUUACUUUUAGAUGGUUGAAAUUAAGUUGAAUGACAGAGGAAAAAAUAUGCUGAUUGUGAUUUUAUAAAUUUCUAAGGAUUGCCUAAUCGAUUUGAUAAUGUGGGUUUUUGCAAAAGGCACCAUGCUUAGCAAGUGUGCCUCUAUUCUCUUUUGUUACUAUGAGUUUUGGAAUGCAAGACUGAAUUGUACUGCACUAAGGAAAUUCUUUGGGAAAGGAGGGAGAAGCAGCCAGCCAAUAUGUUAGAAGGUUUUUCUCUCAUAAUGAGGAGAAAGUGACUAAAUGAUACUGUUUGGAGACCAGUUCUUCGUUGUCCUGUAAUUUUUUCCUCUCCCUACUCUAUUUUCCAUGUUCAUCCUAUUUCUUCCUUUCUUUAUUGCUUUCUGUCCUUUAUUCUCCACCCACUGACUUCCUGUUAUUGCAUUUGACAAUUAUCGUAAGACUUUGUCAUCUGAGUUAAUGAGUCAAAUUUAGUAUAGAUAUUACUGUUAAAUCUAUUUUUGUUGCAUCCUUAAAAUUAAUUUUGACUAGUUCUUAUGUUAAUUUCGGUGCUCCACCAUGAAAUGCUCUUCUCAUGUAUCAAAGCCUUUUUUAAUUUGUAUUGUUAUCAUUGGAAUACUAAUUCUAUCUUCUGUUGUUAGCAUCAAUAUAGAUGUUUUACGAUUUUAUAAACAAUUGGUAGGUGUGCAGAGAAGUCUAAACCAAUUAUUGAAAUUUCGUACCGUACCAAAGUUUCGAGCUUCACUCGUUACGGCACUGUGUACCAAGUGGUACAUCUAAUUUAGGUGUAAAAUUCUUUGAAAAUAAAAAAAUAUGAUAGAGUUUUUAAGUUAGAAAUAAAUAUAGUAAUAGUAUAAGUCUAGCAAAACCAAUAUAAACUAGGUAAGAAUAGUAUCACAUAUCUUUUUCGGACUUUGAGGAAUAACCUUGUGCAAGGUUCGUAUUUCGAUCCGUUACAGAUUGCUCUUCUGUAAAUAUUAAAAUAUUUAUAGAAAAAUUAUUUUAAUUUUCAAUUAAUAAAUUAUUGUUUUGUAGAGUUUAGGAGAGUGUAAAUGUGAGAAAAAAUAAGUUUGAGAUAGUUUAAGAGAGUGAGAGAGUGAAAUAGGGGAGAAGAUGAGUUUAAAAACCUAUGAGAAAGGGCUCCAACGGUCAUUUUGAUCGUUGGAGCACUGUUACAGAUCGGUAACAGUCGAAAUCGACUGUUAUCGAGUUGUGUCGGGUGUGAACGGUCGAAAUUUUGAUCGUUACCGUCCGAUAUACCCUCAUAUCAUCCGAUAUGAGGCAAUAUUGAGCGUUCCGCCCAGUAGCGGGAGGUCCGCGUACGGGUAUGCUGUCGGACCUGUAUGUACCGCUCAUACCGGACAGUAUUAUUCAAAAUUAAAAAUCUUUGUCUAAACAUUUUAUAAAUUAUGGGUAAUUGAAGCUCAUUGACCAAGUUGUGAUCUUCUGAUCCAUUUACAACAUUUGAGUGCUUGUUAAGACAUGGUCCAUUAGCUCUCAUCUAAUCAAUGUCGAUGGUCCAAAGCAGCACCUAUGUGAUAAACUGAGCAACCUGUAGGUUGCUAGUCUUGGAGAAGGCAUUGGUAGUCUUCUAAAUAUUUUUUCUCUAGAACAGUGCUACAUUUGUUUGGCCAAUGUCCAUGUUGAUGUGUUUAUAUCAGUUUUUGUGGAUACUGUUACCCUUGGUUAAAAAAUAGCUUGUAGAACUAGCAGAGAAUAUAAUUUUAUGAACUAUAAUUGUAAACGAUAGCAUUUGUAUCAAGGUUGGGAAACUCAGCUGCGUUAUCUAUUUCAUAGGGCCACUAAGUCCUGGAAAAACCCUAAGAAACGGACCAAAAGUAGUUGAAUCAGAUCAGACUUUACGAGCUUUAAGGUUACCCAUGGAAUUAUCUUAGUUUUGGAAUCAAACAAGGCAUCUUUUCUAAUUGGUUGAAUGAUGGUGUCAUAAACUUGCCACUGGCUUCAUUUAUAAAUCAUUAAGCUACUGGAAUUAGCCAAAGAAGAACAGAAGAUGAGGAAUAGAUGCUUCCGUUCACGGGAUGCCACUAACUAUUUGCAGUUAGUACAUCAUGAUGUUGCUACCAUCAUUGAUGCCAGAUAGAAGCCUUCAAUGUGGCAUGGAAGACUACUGUCGUCAGUGACCUGGGCUCACGGAGGGAGAGGUCCUAAAUGGUAGCUGCCAUGGGUGCUAUGGUUUUUUCUUUGGCUUUUUUAUUAUUUUCUGAAGGUCAACUAGUACAAGUUAAGACCUGUUAGUGUCAUACUUUGGACAGUCACCAAUUAGUGUGAGUACCGAGUUGCAACAAAGAGUAGUGGAACAUUUAUAUUUUCCUACCUAAUUAAUUGAUCUCAUGUAUAGCCCAAGGUAGUUUUGUAAAACAAGAAGCCCCACUUCUUUCAUAGAAUUUAAGGAUUUAGCAUUCCGCAACCUCUGGAUUUGGCAUCUAAUAAGUUGGCAAUAUUGGAGUUGCAAUCUUAAUGCAUGGUCUUUAGAAGUCUUUAAAAGUUGUUGCUGCAGCGAAAUUUGGAAAUUGGAAAGAAAUGAACAUUGAUUCUGAAAGUGAGUGAGUGCUAUUACACAAUGAUUGCCUUCUUGGUUGAUAGAUAGCAUAUUUUGAUAAAUCCUUGCUUAAAUAACUGUUCCUAGGAAUUCCAUGCCGACACUUUCAGCGAUUGGCUGUAUUGUUGGCACAGAAGAGUCCUUGACAAAGCAAAAAAAAAAAAGGGGGGGGGGGGGGGGGGGGGUGGUAAUGAAGCCAGUGUGAAUUAUUCAGUAAAGUGAAGAAAGGAAAUCUAGUGCUUCCACAUGGUUCAGUAGUGGCAAUGACUAACAGCUGCUUUGUUGGAUGGAGAGAGAGUCGAAAGCAGACUGGGGGUGGGGGUGGGAGAGGUUGUCAGGGAGAAGAGGAAAGAACCAAGGGUAAGAGCCUUGUAGUUGAGUAAGAGGACAAGAGAGGUUGGUGGAUUGGUCAUGUCUAACUUCAAUACUGUAUAAGCUUUUCUUAUUUAAAGACACCUUGCGUGAUGCAUUUCAGUAUGCAGUUAAUUGCACUAGUUGCGACCAAAUUGUUUGGUCCAUGGUUAGCACUUUGAGUGAUGCAUAUCAGGUGUUACACUUGCUAGUUGCCAAAAUUGCAAAUUCACCUUGUAAACUUGGAACUCUUUUGGAGGACGAUCAACUGAUAAUUGCAUCCUCAAUAUAUUAUUUAUUACCACUGUUCUUGGCUUCUUUUAUGGUAUCUCUGUAUACAUGCCACAUGAUUUUGUUUUUAUUGUAAUGUGCAUUGCACUUUUAUAACUGUUGCUAUGGAUGUUUCAUCAAUCGGAUUCUUUUCUCUUUAAAAUUCUGAAUUUUGCUUCAUGAAAUCAUCCAUUAUGUAUUUAUUUUCUAUUCCAGGAUGCCUAAGUAGCACUUUGAAGGUUCCAACUGCUAGGACAGCUAAUUAUCUUCCAUAUAAUAUGCUACUUUAGUCGUGUCCUAUUGCAUUAAUGCUAUCCAACUUGAUUACUUAUUUGAUGCCACUUUUUUUUUUCCAAAACAUGACAGAGCAUCCAUUACUCCCUGGUUCUUUGAGCUGCACAAGUUACAGCAGACCUGGCUUUUGAUCAUAGCCAACAGAACUUUAUAACUCUGUUUCACUGAGGAUUAAUCUUUUGUUGACUUGUUGUUACAAUAAGAAUUUCCACCCACUUAGAAAUUUAAGUUAAUGAGAUUUUGAACUCACUCUCAUCGGUGUUCUUUGGAGCACUACAAGUAUCAGAUUCUCUUUGGCUCCUCAUCCAAAAUCAAUGGGUUCUCAUCACAUUGGCAGGAAUUGCCUUGUCUUUGAUCAUAUCACUGAUCUUACCAUUUUGGUAGCUUGGAUCCUCUUAUGUAGUAACAAAUCUAAUCUAACUUUUGAUUUUAGGAUUUUUUUUGUAUAAUGCCUUAUUUUAUGUGCAGAGUAUCUUAAUCUGAAAGCAUCUUCUCAUUAUAUCAUAUUAUAGGUUGUGGUCCAGAAUCAUUCCAAAUUGCAUAUUUUUUGUUUAUGUUAUUUGGUUCUAGAUUCUACAUUGGUACAAUUUCUACAUGGCUGAUUCAUGAUGUUCUUUUUGGAUCCUUAUAUUUUAUAGCAGUUCAGAUAGCCUAUGCUUGCAUUUGUUGGUCGACGUAUAGAUCCUCAACCACAAUCGAUGAUUAUUGAGGACAACAAGCUUAGAACAGGGGAUCCGAUACUGCAUUCGAGAGAGAUGUGUUCUUGUUUGUUUGAUAGUUUUACACAGGAUAUCAGCUACCUGAUCUCUUCCAUCCUGGCUUAAGAUUGCAAUAGAAAGGCUGUAGCAUUUGGCAUUAACUACUGUGACACUACACGGUCUGUUUCUUUUGCCUGGGCAUAUGGGAAUAGUCUUGAGUGAAAUCCUGUACAGUUGCUCAAGCCAGUCACAAUUUUGUGAUGGUUAUGGUGUACUUGUACUUAUCUAGGAUAUACUUUUAGAAAUGGUAAGUAUGAAUAUCUGAAUACUAUCGAAAGAACAAGAUGGAAUUAUCUGCA